rnacentral:misc_RNA from 1 species
AACAUCGCGCACCUGCGGGAACCUGCGGAAGGAUCAUUACAGAGUUGCAAAACUCCCUAAACCAUUGUGAACGUUACCUAAACCGUUGCUUCGGCGGGCGGCCCGGGUCCUUCCCAGCGCCCAUCGGCCCUCGCGGGCGCCCGCCGGAGGUAAACCAAACUAUUGCAUUGUAUGGCCUCUCUGAGUCUUCUGUACUGAAUAAGUCAAAACUUUUAACAAUGGAUCUCAGAUCGGAAGAGC